CUAUCUAACAGCCUUGAUUAAUAAAUAGUCAAUGGUUUGGUUGUUUGAUAAUGGUUUUAAUUAGGCUAUAAUGGCGGGGAUGCGAUAGUUAACCAUGAAGGUGUGAGCCCAAAGGACAGACACUGGAAACUCAUAUUUGUUGACAUGAGGAAUGGCCUUAGUGUCUAUAUAUUUGAUGGGUACAUGGGAAUCCCCUAACACAUGUAUAUAUGUAUCAUAUAGAGAGAGAGCGAUGGGUACAUAGGAAUCCCCUACUCUUAUGAUAUCUCUAGUUCAUGUGGCUACACGUAUUGGGGCCCAUUCAGGGGGUUACACUAAAUCCAUAUAGCCCGUGGGUUCUUUUAUGACGGUUAAGCUUCACAUACCCAAGCUAAUGAUUUCAAACGCACGCUAAAUCUGGUUCCCUAUCCCUGCAUGGUUAUGUAUAUAU
rnacentral:lncRNA from 1 species